rnacentral:rRNA from 1 species
GACGAACCGUCCAAACGUUAUUCGGAAUCACUGGGCUUACAGAGUUCGUAGGCGGUCUGGAAAGUUGGGUGUGAAGUCCCUCGGCUCAACCGAGGAACUGCGCUUGAAACUACCAGACUCGAGGGAGAGAGAGGAAAGCGGAACUGAUGGUGGAGCGGUGAAAUGCGUUGAUAUCAUCAGGAACACCGGUGGCGAAGGCGGCUUUCUGGGUCUUACCUGACGCUGAGGAACGAAAGCUAGGGGAGCGAACGGG